UUUGCCUAAACCGGUGAGAAAAUAAAGACGAAAGUUUGUUAUAACAAUGAUUUCGAUUUCACCUCGAGAAUUGCUGCUGCUGCUGCCGCCGCCGCCACUGAGAGAAGCGCGAGCUUGCGACGUCGUACGGAAGUGCUUGACGUACCAAGAGAACAACCGGCGACGGUUGUGGACAUUAGCGAAAUGUAGAUAGGGAGGGAAUACGGCGACGUUUCGCGGGAACCGGAAAUUCAUCGUUGCCUUUG
rnacentral:lncRNA from 1 species